AACGAACGCUGGCGGCAGGCCUAACACAUGCAAGUCGAACGCUCUAGCAAUAGAGAGUGGCAGACGGGUGAGUAACGCGUGGGAACCUUCCCUGUGGUGCGGAAUAACUCGCCGAAAGGCGUGCUAAUACCGCAUAAGCCCGCAAGGGGAAAGAUUUAUCGCCAUAGGAUGGGCCCGCGUAGGAUUAGCUAGUUGGUGAGGUAAUGGCUCACCAAGGCGACGAUCCUAGCUGGUUUGAGAGAAUGACCAGCCACACUGGGACUGAGACACGGCCCAGACUCCUACGGGAGGCAGCAGUGGGGAAUCUUGGACAAUGGGCGCAAGCCUGAUCCAGCCAUGCCGCGUGAGUGACGAAGGCCUU
rnacentral:rRNA from 1 species